ensembl:lncRNA
UGGAGCUAUAUACAGGAAGUACCAGAUCAAUGUGGAGCUAUAUACAGGAAGUACCAGAUCAAUGUGGAGCUAUAGACAGGAAGUACUAGAUCAAUGUGGAGCUAUAGACAGGAAGUAGCACUACCAGAUCAAUGUGGAGCUAUAUACAGGAAGUAGCACUACCAGAUCAAUGUGGAGCUAUAUACAGGGAGUACCAGUACCAGAUCAAUGUGGAGCUAUAUACAGGAAGUACCAGAUCAAUGUGGAGCUAUAUACAGGAAGUACCAGAUCAAUGUGGAGCUAUAUACAGGAAGUACCAGAUCAAUGUGGAGCUAUAUACAGGAAUUACCAGAUCAAUGUGGAUCUAAACUCAGCAAAAAAAUAAACGUCCUCUCACUGUCAACUGCAUUUAUUUUCAGCAAUCUUAACAUGUGUGAAUAUUUGUAGGAACAUAAGAUUCAACAACUGAGACAUAAACUGAACAAGUUCCACAGACAUGUGAUUAACAGAAAUGGAAUAAUGUGUCCCUGAACGAAGGAAGGGGGUUAAAAUCAAAAGUAACCAUCAGUAUCUGGUGUGGCCACCAGCUGCAUUAAGUACUACAGUGCAUCUCCUCCUCAUGAGAUUACCCCCGGACCUGCCUUACAACAGGCCUCCAAGCCCUCAGUCCAGCCUCUCCCAGCCUAUUACAGGGAGGUACCACUACCAAGCUAAAGUAACCGUCAGUAUCUGGUGUGGCCACCAGCUGCAUUAAGUACUGCAGUGCAUCUCCUCCUCAUGGACUGCACCUCCUCAUGAGAUUACCCCCGGACCUGCCUUACAACAGGCCUACACUCAGUCCAGCCUCUCUCAGCCUAUUACAGGGAGGUACCACUACCAAGCUAAAGUAGGCUCUCUUUUCUGAAAAAAAAAAAGUUGAAAGGAGACUCGCGGUGUAACGAGCACUAUGGUGAGAGCAUUGAACCCUGUUCUUUUUUUUUAAAGGAGAUUUAUGAUGAGGGCUUUAACGUUACCUGGUAACCACGGAGACAGAUCACUGUGAGGGUUUAAUAAGAUCUCUCUCACACAGCUGUCUUUUUAAAAACCAAUCCUUUGCCGAUCUCACCGUAGUAAGAAAAGGACCUUCUGCUUUAUUCAAAGUGUUCUCCUCGACUUCUGGAAUUGUUCCCCCGUCCUCUCCUCUGUCAGUUUAAUUGUCGGGUGGUGAAUAUAUUGCCCUCCUGCCUGGCAGCCUCACUGAGAAACAUUCACUCUAAUCUUUCCUGACGAGUCUCUGGUGAUUCAUAUGACUCAAGAUGAGUCAGUGGACGUUGCUGGGAUGCAGAACCAAAUGGCACCCUCUUCCCAAUGGGCCCUGGUCUAAAGUAGUGCACUAUGUAGGGAAUAGGGUUCUGGUCUAUAGUAGUGCACUAUGUAGGGAAUAGGGCCCUGGUCUAAAGUAGUGCACUAUAUAGGGAAUAGGGCCCUGGUCUAAAGUAGUGCACUAUAUAGGGAAUAGGGCCCUGGUCUAAAGUAGUGCACUAUGUAGGGAAUAGGGCCCUGGUCUAAAGUAGUGCAUUAUAUAGUGAAUAGGGCCCUGGUCUAAAGUAGUGCACUAUAUAGGGAAUAGGGCUCUGGUCUAAAGUAGUGCUCUAUAUAGGGAAUAGGGUUCCAUUUGGGACUGUGAUGGUAGACUGUGAUGGUAGAAGAGUUCUGUAUGUUCAUGACUCUCAUUAAAGAUGAAUAUAUUUGGGGUUAUUAUUAUGUUACACGUGUGUGUGUGUGUGUGUGUGUGUGUGUGUGUGUGUGUGUGAGAGAAAGCUUGUUGAAGUAAACAGAUGAGUUGACUCACCCACAGCACAGCCUUGAGGGACGGACACACACACCAUGACACACACCGUAACACACACACACACACACACACACACACACACACACACACACACAGCUGCCCAUAAUUAAGUGGGAGGCCAUGCUGUCACAGAGCUCUGCAACGAAACACAGUGUGUUUAAACAUGAAUCAACUGUUAUUAAUAAACACAAUUCAUUUACACUCUCUAAGAUAAUCAACUGUUAUUAAUAAACACAAUUCAUUUACACUCUCUAAGAUAAUCAACUGCUAUUAAUAAACACAAUUCAUUUACACUCUCUAAGAUAAUCAACUGUUAUUAAUAAACACAAUUCAUUUACACUCUCUAAGAUAAUCAACUGUUAUUAAUAAACACAAUUCAUUUACACUCUCUAAGAUAAUCAACUGUUAUUAAUAAACACAAUUAAUUUACACUAAGAUAAUCAACUGCUAUUAAUAAACACAAUUAAUUUACACUCUCUAAGAUAAUCAACUGCUAUUAAUAAACACAAUUAAUUUACACUCUCUAAGAUAAUCAACUGCUAUUAAUAAACACAAUUAAUUUACACUCUCUAAGAUAAUCAACUGCUAUUAAACUCUUGUUGUUUACACUGUUUCUAACACAGCCAGGUUCACCUUUAACCUUCCCGUUGGAUCAGAGAGAUAGCCUGGUCCCAGAUCUGUUUGUGCUCUUGACAACUGUAUUUAGCAGUUAGACAGUUCCACAAGGAGUUGGCAAGAGAACAGAAACAGUCUGGUACCCAGGCUAUCAGAGAGCUGUCUGUCUGUCAACAGUCUGGUACCCAGGCUAUCAGAGAUCUGCUUCACUGUCACAAUGUCUGUCUGUCACAAUGUCUGUCUGUCACAAUGUCUGUCUGUCUGUCUGUCUGUCUGUCUGUCUGUCUGUCUGUCAGUCAGUCAACAGUGUGGUACCCAGGCUAUGAGAGAGCUGCUUCACUGUCACAAUGUCUGUCUGUCAGUCUGUCAACAGUGUGGUACCCAGGCUAUCAGAGAGCCAUCUGUCAACAGUGUGGUACCCAGCCUAUCAGAGAGCGAGCUGCCUGCCUGCCUUGGAUUGGACGAGGUUUUAACCAAUGACACAGGGAAAGUGUGUGCUGUAUAUUGUGACAUAACUUAAUGCAUGGCCUUUAUGGGUAUAGUAAUGAGUUUAUCAGCAGUAUUCCCAUGUCUGUCUUAAAGAGAAAUAUUCAUAUACAACGUUUGUGUCUCUUCCACAUUUCCAUUAGAAUCAUAUGGACUCAUUGGUACAGCUCUCCCUGUUCCAGUGUCCUGUGUCCAUUUCCAUUAAAAUCACAUGGACUCAUUGGUACAGCUCUCCCUGUUCCAGUGUCCUGUGUCCAUUUCCAUUAGAAUCAUAUGGACUCAUUGGUACAGCUCUCCCUGUUCCAGUGUCCUGUGUCCAUUUCCAUUAGAAUCAUAUGGAC